CAACUUUCAACAACGGAUCUCUUGGCUCUCGCAUCGAUGAAGAACGCAGCGAAAUGCGAUACGUAAUGUGAAUUGCAGAAUUCAAUGAAUCAUCGAAUCUUUGAACGCACCUUGCGCCCCUUGGUAUUCCGAGGGGCACACCCGUUUGAGUGUCGUG
rnacentral:rRNA from 1 species